GACGAACGCUGGCGGCGUGCCUAAUACAUGCAAGUAGGACGCAGUUGCGAACGGGUGAGUAACGCGUAGGUAACUGCCUCUUAGAGGGGGAUAACUAUUGGAAACGAUAGCUAAUACCGCAUACUAGUAGAUGGACCUGCGUUGUAUUAGCUAGUAGGUAGGGUAAUGGCCUACCUAGGCGACGAUACAUAGCCGGCCUGGGGGGGCGAUAGGCCACCAUGGGACUGAGGCACGACCCAGACGACCAAGGGAGGGAGCAGUAGGGAAUAUUGGGUAAUGGGGGGAAUCCUGACCCAGCAAAGGCGCGUGAGUGAAGAAGGUUUUCGGAUAGUAAAGCUAUGUUGUUAAGGAAGCGGUACUUAACCAGUAAGGGACGGCUAACUACGUGCCAGCAGCCGCGGUAAUAC
rnacentral:rRNA from 1 species